CGCCACCAUGACAGACAGCAUGUGAAGAUGCCGUACUUUGCUGAUGCCUGGGUGCAGGCUGGGAGUGUAAUUAGCCACUGGUGAUGGCUAUGGUGACUGCCAAGUUCCCUCUCUCAAGAAACUGACAGGAGAGAAUGCACCUGGUCACCCGGUGUCCGAUCACACCAAGAAGAGCAGCAUGACCCCUCCCUCUUUCCUUUUAAUGGGUCACAUAAGCAGGCAAGAAGUCAAGAAGUCAUGUACCCAGACAAGAAGCACUGCCUUUUUCAAGCUGAAUAGCCCAGGGUCUUGGGCAGAGCAAAUACCACUACAUGUAUUCAUGUAUACACACACACACACACACACACACACACACACACACACACACAAUAAAUAUAUAUAUAUAAUGUGUGUGUUUAUAACUUACUGCAUGAAGUUUUGAAGUACAUAUAUACUGAACAAUCACUACAUCCAGCAAAUUUACAUGAGUAUCCCCUCAUAAAAUUAUCAUUUCAUAGUGACAAUUCAUAAUGUCCACUCUCUUAGCAUUUUUCAAGCCUGGAAAUUUGUGCCUGUAAUCCCAGAACUCAGCAAGUUCUAGUAGGAGGCUCUUGAGUUUGAAGCCAGCAUGAGCUACACAAGGAGAAUGAAUACAUGUUAUUAUUUGUUGUGAAUUAUUAUGUUAAGAUGUGUUACAUUUGUUUAUAUCGUGGAACAUUUGUUUCAAUGAUGCAAAAAAUGUGUUGCAUUCUUUAACGUUGCAUGUGUUUAACUCUGUGAAGCUGUGUUACUUUGCCUGUCUA